UGGAGGACCGAGGAUGAAACUGGACUCAUCAGAGGGCAGCAGCGCUGACUCUCCACAAGGGCCCGAUGUAAACGCAGAAAAAUUAAUCUGGAAAAAAUCAUCUAAAGUUGAGGACACUUCCCUCCAGACUCUGCUUUGCCUCCGAAACAGAUCACGCCAGCAUCAUGUCGGGCUACAGCGUGAGAGUGAGAGAGGAGGUCUGUUUUUGUCUUUGGUUAUCUAGCUGUAUGAGUGUUAAAUACCUGUCAUAAAGCUAGAUAACCGAAAGUAGAAAUGACUUCCGUAACGUUGUGGUCUUUACCGAGAAAGAGAGAGACAGAGAGAGAGAAUGGGGACUCCUCUGGCUUUAAACUCAUCAUGGCGAAUUUUAACUUUCACCUCAGAAAGGUUUUUGAUUAUCAGCACCAAAUGAUCGGUUAUUCCUGAAAAGAGGGUAGAAACGUCAUUAAAAGAAAACGAGGAGAGAGUGGGGAAAACGCGGUCAGUCAAGAAUUGCCACCUCCUCCUCUUCCUCCUCCUCCUCCCCUGUCUCCCUCUCACCGUUUUUGCCCCACAGCCUCUAAUGCCAUCUGUACUGCCAACGGGGGACACUUUGCCCGUGCCAGGAGGCGGACAAAGACCCUGCCGGAUCCCUGGAGUACGGGCGCGCUCAGAGGAGCCAUCUUGGGAGAUGUUGCCGCGACACCUAAAAUGGCUGGGCUGGCAUACGAGGACGGGACAGGAUCUGUGAGGACUCUCUGCACUCUGCAGGAAACUGCUCUGGCACGCGGACACUGUGGACCAACUCAACCAAAUGCCGUCAUCAGAUUUUUGAGACUCUCACCAGAGCAUGAACUCAAGAGACUGCCAGUCAACUCAACACUGCAAGAAGAGUGCUAUGUAGAAACAGAAGUUAUGUUAUGUAAAUCUGACAUGUAUAGCUCAAGAUGUCUGUCAUCCUUGGAAAUUCUGAGUUUAUUUUAAGAUACUGUAUAAAUGCUGGAGUGUGUUUAAUUAGACAUCUUUACAUAAUUAUGUUCUUUUGAAAAGCUCCAACUAAAAAAAUCCCUUAAAUGUUCCCACUUAUUUUACACUCAGUGUUUUAUAUGUAUUUUCAAAGCUAAUGCACGUUUUAAUUAUUGAAUUAUUUUUUUCUCAUAUGUUUAAAGUGAGAUAUUUGUUAAUACGAUAUAAAUGUAUUCAAGUAUAUUGUUUUAAGUGUACUGCUGUCAAUGAGACUACUUUGAAAUAAAGUGAUGAAAAUAUAA